rnacentral:lncRNA from 1 species
UUAUAACACAUUUAAGCUCUAGCUAACACGUUAUUCAGUCUAGUGAUAACUACGAUAUGUUCGAAGCACGUUCUAGCAAUUAGUAAACUAUAAAAUUAAAUGGGAGAGCUAAAACGAACACAAUUUACUAAUUUUAUAAUUAUACUAACUGCUUAAUUACGUACGUUCAUUCUCUACUGUUCAAGUGCAUAAACUGAAACUGAUGAACAAAAGAGAAACACUAACAUACGAAUCAAAACGACAAGUCUACAACUAAAAGCGUAGAAUCCUUUAUGUACAGUUGUAUCUCUAUAUCUAUAUUACCAGAAACUAAAACAGAGUCAAGAAGAAGAAGAUUCUGAUGUUUGAAUUUAGGAGUGGUCGGAGUAGCUAUUAUCAUUAUUAUUAUGAUUAUCAGUCCAACAAAUAAGCAUGACGACGCAUCUCCUCAUGAUGUAAAAGCGAGCUCUUUGUUCUCUCACCAGUCUCCCACACUUUCUCGUGAAACCGUUUUUCCCCUGUUUCUUCUGUCUCGACGAGCGCGUGGUCUUGGACGCGCCUUCCUCGCCUCCGAAGCUUUCCUUUUUCGAAGACAGCUUCCAUCUCUCGCUCAGCUGAAACUGCGAUGAUGAGUUUCCUGAUCUAGUCAUUUUCCUCAAGAUCCUGAGAUUCUUGAUCUUGCCUCGGAAGAUUCUUGUUGUUGGUUGUUGUUUUCUUAAAAAAAAAAAGAUUCUUAUCGUUUGAUUUUUGUUUGGAUUGAUGGAUUUGGGGAAUCUGGGAUCAGAGAGAUUCAGCAAAGUUAAAGAGAGAGUAUAAGAGGUUUGGAGGACAGUUUAAGGUAUACUAACGCAUUUAUAAUGGUGUUACAAAUAAAUAUCUUUUUGAACACAAUAGCGGCUUGACGAGAAAUAACAAAAAAAAA